GAAAGUUUCGUGUCUCCGAUGAAUCAUGCCUGUUUCACGCUAUUCCGGAUAUAGAACUAUCGGCAAUUUAUUUGUGUUGUGGUUCUUUUUCGUUGCCUUUUCCGUACAAUGCAGCUCUGCUCUCGACCUGUCAUUGAAUCUCAGAUAGUUUCCUGACACCACUGACGAAGUAAUACGAGUGAAAGGAGAGGCCCUGACUGGUUUUUCCCGUUCAACUGGUUUCAAGCAGUCACCUUCCGCUUGUUUAUCCAAACAUUCAGUGAUUUGCCAUUAAGACCAAUGGGUUUUAAGCCGUUCCGCCUUCUUUUCCUAUACUAUUUCAGAUCCUAAUUAUUUGGAAGAUCACGUUUUUUAAAACAAUAUUUAAUUCUAAAGGGAAUGAAAUGCUAUAACUUUUACUGCGCUCAGUUCUCCCUUUCAACUGGUUUGAAGCAGUCACCUCCCGCUUGUUUAUCUGACAUUAAGACCAAUGGGUUUUAACCCGUCGUAAAUAUUCUGCAUUUCAUUUAAAUGAAAUUUUUCACAAGUUUUCGUUAAUUAUAUUAGAAAGAAAGAUUGAUUUGAUUAACUAUCACAAAAGAUUAAAAUCAAAGUUUUACGCUAUUGUUAAUAUUAAAAUCGCUUGUUAUAUCUUUUCUGUUUAUGGAGUCAUUUUUGAAAUAUUUUCUCAAAUAUGAAAAGAUUUUUACUUUUCCUGAAAUUUCGCUUAAAUCAAAAAUUAUAUUCACAGGGUAAUUAAUGUUCUCUUUAAAUUAAAAUAUUUUUUGAAAGGUUAAAUAUCUCUGUUGAUAUCUAAUUUCCAUGUUGUUUGCAUUCUAUAAGAGAGGAGACAGUGAAGAAAAACAUUAAUAUUCUUCAACACUUACAAAUGAAUUAUUAUGAAAUGUAAGGAAAUAAUUAUUUUAAAGCAUUUCAAAAUUUUGUCCUCAUAUUCAACAAAAUGAAUUCUAAAAAUUCUAUCCGGCAAUUGCCAUAAGUACGUGUAGCAUCUCGUGUUCUCUGCUUUCCGUAACCUUUAAUAGACUGUUUUCUAGUGCAAAUACUUCCUGCUUAAAUAGUUUAUAAAUAUAUCUGUUCAAUAAUACUUUUAAUUUAUGCUUACUGUAAAACGUUAGUCAUUAGAUAAUCUGUAUAUAUUUAAUAAUUAGAUUUCUUGAUAGUAAAAACAUGGAAGAUGUAAGUAAGAUGUAUGUUAAUAGCUAUUUUCAUUUCAUGAGUGUGCUUGAAGAAAAAUUAUAAAAUUUCAAUUAUUUUAAAGCAUUUCGAGCAUUUUCUUUUUCUUUAUUAGCUUUGAAAUCUGCUAAAGUUUGGUAAACGAUUCAUGUAAUAAAAAAAAAAAAAAAAAAAAAAAAAA